rnacentral:rRNA from 1 species
CCUACGGGAGGCAGCAGUGGGGAAUUUUGGACAAUGGGCGAAAGCCUGAUCCAGCAAUGCCGCGUGAGUGAAGAAGGCCUUCGGGUUGUAAAGCUCUUUUGUCAGGGAAGAAACGGUGAGAGCUAAUAUCUCUUGCUAAUGACGGUACCUGAAGAAUAAGCACCGGCUAACUACGUGCCAGCAGCCGCGGUAAUACGUAGGGUGCAAGCGUUAAUCGGAAUUACUGGGCGUAAAGCGUGCGCAGGCGGUUUUGUAAGUCUGAUGUGAAAUCCCCGGGCUCAACCUGGGAAUUGCAUUGGAGACUGCAAGGCUAGAAUCUGGCAGAGGGGGGUAGAAUUCCACGUGUAGCAGUGAAAUGCGUAGAUAUGUGGAGGAACACCGAUGGCGAAGGCAGCCCCCUGGGUCAAGAUUGACGCUCAUGCACGAAAGCGUGGGGAGCAAACAGGAUUAGAUACCCUGGUAGUCCACGCCCUAAACGAUGUCUACUAGUUGUCGGGUCUUAAUUGACUUGGUAACGCAGCUAACGCGUGAAGUAGACCGCCUGGGGAGUACGGUCGCAAGAUUAAAACUCAAAGAUUAGUAGACGNGAGAGAGCGACGACGACGACGAGGAGGAGGAGG